rnacentral:rRNA from 1 species
GACGAACGCUGGCGGCGUGCUUAACACAUGCAAGUCGAACGGAAAGGCCCUGCUUUUGUGGGGUGCUCGAGUGGCGAACGGGUGAGUAACACGUGAGUAACCUGCCCUUUACUUUGGGAUAACUUCAGGAAACUGGGGCUAAUACCGGAUAGGAGCUCCUGCUGCAUGGUGGGGGUUGGAAAGUUUCGGCGGUUGGGGAUGUACUCGCGGCUUAUCAGCUUGUUGGUGGGGUAGUGGCUUACCAAGGCUUUGACGGGUAGCCGGCCUGAGAGGGUGACCGGCGACAUUGGGACUGAGAGACGGCCCAGACUCGUACGGGAGGCAGAAGUGGGGAAUAUUGCACAAUGGGCGGAAGCCUGAUGCAGCAACGCCGCGUGCGGGAUGACGGCCUUCGGGUUGUAAACCGCUUUCGACUGUGACGAAGCGUGAGUGACGGUAAUGGGUAAAGAAGCACCGGCUAACUACGUG